CCAUAAAAUUUUUGCCCACUUACCAAAAUUAUUAAUCUUUCAAAAUUUUAAUUUUAUUAUUUAAUUUUUUAAUCCAGUGUCUUUAGAGCAAGUGGCAAAGAGUUUAGUGGUUGGUACCCGAGAUUCAAGUUCGAAUCUUAGUUGAUUCACAUUUUCAACUAAAUUUAUUUCUAAAUAAAAUAAACGAAGCGGAUAGCGUGCUACCUAUCUCUCAAAAAAAAAAAAAAAUCUUUCAAUUUGUUCGGUUUGAAUAAGUCGACGACACUUUGACUUUUAAAUUUUGAACGCGUCGUUUAUCUUUGCAGACUUAUAAGUUAAUAUACUUCGUGCAAUUCUGACAACUAAAAAUUUAUUAAAAAAAAAUUAGCUUAAUUUUUUUAGUUAAAGUGCUGGCGAUCGACUUAAAUCAAAAAUA
rnacentral:lncRNA from 1 species